rnacentral:lncRNA from 1 species
CAGUCCUCAAGCAUGGCUGUGUCUUCAGCAGGCAGUGCUCGGUCAGCUCCUGCAGACCUCGUUCUUGAGGAGAUUGACUCUGAAGAUGAGGCUCAAGAAAAAACUUGUCCAACAACGAACUCGCAGCCAAAUUCACAACCUCAAACACCUUGGUCACCAGAACAAUCUCUUCCACUGAGUGUCAUCACACCCUCACAAGCACACAUAGAACUGGAGGACGCAGAGACCCAAACUGCACGAUGGACGCCCAUGAUCGAGAACAUCAGGAGAGAGGCGGAGGACACCGCCAUAUUAUUUAUGGAGGAACGGUUGAUACUGGAGCGUCUGGCGAUGGCUCGAAUGGCAGAAGAGGUGGCACGGCAGACAGCAGAGAUGGCUGUCAGGGAGUUGGCACAGGCCCGGUUUGGCAUUCAGAUCAUUGCAGAAGAGCCAGAAGAUGUUGAUCAAGAAUUACAAGUGCUGCAGGAAGAGGAAAGUGAUAUAGAAGUCAUACGAAAUCAAAUUGCAGAGUAAGACAUACUGGGAAUUUUUUUUAUUAUUAUAAAUUCAAUCAACUGUUCUCAUGCUUUCCU